rnacentral:tRNA from 1 species
UCCGAGUGGUUAAGGAGGUGGACUCGAAAUCCACUAGGCUCAGCCUGCGCAGGUUCGAAUCCUGC